GACGAACGCUGGCGGCGUGCUUAACACAUGCAAGUGGUGCGACGAGCCAGGGCUUGCCCUGGGGCAAAGCCGCGAACGGGUGAGUAACACGUGAGUAACCUGCCCCGAUGACCGGGACAACCCGAGGAAACUCGGGCUAAUACCGGAUGUGGCGCACAGGCGUAAGCCUGUUCGCUAAAGGAAGCUUCGGCCUCCGCAUUGGGGGGGGCUCGCGGCCCAUUAGCUUGUUGGUGGGGUUAUGGCCUACCAAGGCAACGAUGGGUAGCUGGUCUGAGAGGACGAUCAGCCACACCGGGACUGAGACACGGCCCAGACUCCUACGGGAGGCAGCAGUGGGGAAUCUUGCGCAAUGCGCGAAAGCGUGACGCAGCAACGCCGCGUGGGGGAAGACGGCCUUCGGGUUGUAAACCCCUUUCAGGAGGGACGAAGGUUCGGCGGUGAAUAGCCGUCCGGACUGACGGUACCUCCAGAAGAAGCUCCGGCUAACUACGUGCCAGCAGCCGCGGUAAUACGUAGGGGGCAAGCGUUGUCCGGAAUCAUUGGGCGUAAAGCGCGCGUAGGCGGCCCUGUAAGUCCGUUGUGAAAGUCAAAGGCUCAACCUUUGAAAGCCGAUGGAUACUGCAGGGCUAGAGUCCGGAAGAGGCGAGUGGAAUUCCUGGUGUAGCGGUGGAAUGCGCAGAUAUCAGAGGAACACCAAUAGCGACGCAGCUCGCUGGGACGGUACUGACGCUAAGCGCGAAAGCGUGGGAGCGAACAGGAUUAGAUACCCUGGUAGUCCACGCCGUAAACGAUGGGCACUAGGUGUGGAGUGUCGACUCCUCCCGUGCCGUCGCUAACGCACUAAGUGCCCCGCCUGGGGAGUACGGCCGCAAGCUAAA
rnacentral:rRNA from 1 species